UAAAACUGUGUUUUUAUCUCUGUCCCUAGUGUCUCCAUUGUCUUUGUAUUUAUGUAUUAAGAACAAAUUCCAAACACUACCCAGCAAACAUUGUUUUUCCCUUGUAAUUGAUAAUAGAGAUGAAGACAGACAAAGCCAAGGUAUAGUUUUAUCAAGCAAGCUAUGUGGUGAUGCUGUACAGUAUACAUUAUUAAAGAAUCCUUACUUAAAAUAACCACUUUUGCAUGGGACAAAAUGGAAUUGAAAACAUGUAUUGCACUUUUCAGUUUUAGAAUUCUGCUGCAUAAUUAUUUAAUAAUCCAGGCCUCUUUCUACCAUCAUCAAUCUAACUCUCUCCAUGUCCUCUGAUUUGCCUGCCUUUUCGUAGAUCUUCAUGAGAAGUACAAAAUUGUGUUCAUUGUCUGGCUCCAAAUCAAAAAGCUUGUUUGCAGCAAUCUCUCCUAUUGUUACGUCUCCGUGUAAAAAGCAAGCAUACAACAAAGCUCCCCAGAGAGUUGGACUAGCA
rnacentral:lncRNA from 1 species